rnacentral:rRNA from 1 species
AUUGAACGCUGGCGGCAGGCUUAACACAUGCAAGUCGAGCGAGCGGCGGACGGGUGAGUAAUGUCUGGGAAACUGCCUGAUGGAGGGGGAUAACUACUGGAAACGGUAGCUAAUACCGCAUACCAUCAGAUGUGCCCAGAUGGGAUUAGCUAGUAGGUGGGGUAAUGGCUCACCUAGGCGACGAUCCCUAGCUGGUCUGAGAGGAUGACCAGCCCGACUGGGACGAAGACCCGGUCCGGCAUCCUACGGGAGGCAGCAGGGGGGAAUAUUGAACAGUGGGCGCAAGCCUGAUUCAGCCAUGCCGCGUGUGUGAAGAAGGCCUUCGUGUUGUGAAGCACUUUCAGCUAGGAGGCGUUACUCGCGGAAGAAGCACCGGCUAACUCCGUGCCAGCAGCCGCGGUAAUAC